rnacentral:lncRNA from 1 species
CCCCUGGGAAUUAAAAAUACGGGAAAAAAAUAAAAUUGCCAAAUACCUUUUUGCUUGCGCAAAAUAAAAAAAAAUUAGCAUAAAAAACAAAGGAUAGUAUAUUCCCAUGGGAAUUAAACACACGAAAAAUAAUCCACCAAUUCUUAACUUUUUAACGCUUGAAAUAGGGUUGCUUGUUUUCAUCGUAUGUUGAUUUCAUUGUGACUUAUUCCAUAGUUAACAUAAUAUAAACAUGGGUAUAGGGACAGUAUCUGACAGCUAUGAUUUUAUUAUCAACACCAACUGACGAUGAAAAAUAGAAAAUGCUUGGUGCUAGACUCCAAGCCAUGUUUAUUUCACAUUAACUAUGGGUGACGCGGAUUUAUAUUUCGUUUUCAGAAAAGACUAUACAAUCUUCAAUAUUCCAAGCAAGAUUUCGUGCUUUUUUAAGGUAUUGUUGCGUCGAUCUUUUUUAUACAAACAGUUUUCUGUUAUCUACUACGUUUUUGAAAGUUUUACCCAAACGUUUGACCUAAUUUUGAGGGCAAUUUAUUAUUUCUAUACUCCAAAAAUAGGAAAACAAAGUGGAAAAAUUCGCCAAACUCGUAG